rnacentral:rRNA from 1 species
AGCCUCUUAAUUAGAGACUCGUAUGAACGGUGAAACAUUUCAAUUACUUUAUUAAUUAACUUUAUCAAAUUUAAACCAAGAAUAAAAAUGUUCUUAUAAAUUAAUUAGACGACAAGACCCUUUUGAACUUUACUAUUGUUUAGCUGGGGUAGCUAUAAAAUAUUAAUCUUCUUAACUUUAUUUAUAUAAAUGACCCAAUUCAAUUGAUUAUUUGAACAAGUUACCAUAGGGAUAACAGCGUAAUAUUUUUUAAAAGUUCUUAUUUAAAAAAAUGAUUGCGACCUCGAUGUUGAAUUAAUGUAACUUUAUUGAUGAAGUAAUCAUAAAAGUUGGUCUGU